UGCUGAACUGUGUAGUGGUUUGAAUGUUGGACUGUGACUCUGGAGACCAGGGUUCAAAUCCCAGCUAGGCCA